GCCGUUGUAGCUCAGUGGUAGAGCACUUCCUUGGUAAGGAAGAGGUCUGGGGUUCAAUUCCCCAUAACGGCUCAA
rnacentral:tRNA from 1 species